rnacentral:rRNA from 1 species
CUUCGGGGGGGACGAUAACCGGCGUCGAGCGGCGGACGGGUGAGUAAUGCCUAGGAAAUUGCCCUGAUGUGGGGGAUAACCAUUGGAAACGAUGGCUAAUACCGCAUGAUGCCUACGGGCCAAAGAGGGGGACCUUCGGGCCUCUCGCGUAGGAUAUGCCUAGGUGGGAUUAGCUAGUUGGUGAGGUAAGGGCUCACCAAGGCGACGAUCCCUAGCUGGUCUGAGAGGAUGAUCAGCCACACUGGAACUGAGACACGGUCCAGACUCCUACGGGAGGCAGCAGUGGGGAAUAUUGCACAAUGGGCGCAAGCCUGAUGCAGCCAUGCCGCGUGUGUGAAGAAGGCCUUCGGGUUGUAAAGCACUUUCAGUCGUGAGGAAGGUAGUGUAGUUAAUAGCUGCAUUAUUUGACGUUAGCGACAGAAGAAGCACCGGCUAACUCCGUGCCAGCAGCCGCGGUAAUACGGAGGGUGCGAGCGUUAAUCGGAAUUACUGGGCGUAAAGCGCAUGCAGGUGGUUUGUUAAGUCAGAUGUGAAAGCCCGGGGCUCAACCUCGGAAUAGCAUUUGAAACUGGCAGACUAGAGUACUGUAGAGGGGGGUAGAAUUUCAGGUGUAGCGGUGAAAUGCGUAGAGAUCUGAAGGAAUACCGGUGGCGAAGGCGGCCCCCUGGACAGAUACUGACACUCAGAUGCGAAAGCGUG